rnacentral:rRNA from 1 species
CUUGCCCCGAGAUGAGUUCUCCCUGACUCCUUGAGAGCCCUGAAGGAACGUUGAAGACGACGACGUUGAUAGGCCGGGUGUGUAAGCGCAGCGAUGCGUUGAGCUAACCGGUACUAAUGAACCGUGAGGCUUAACCUUACAACGCCGAAG